GUGCUCGCUUCAGAAGCACAUGUACUAAAAUUGGAACAAUAUAGACAAGAUUAGCAUGGUGGCCCCUGCGCAAGGAUGACAUACAAAUUUGUGAAAUGUUCCAUAUUUAA